rnacentral:lncRNA from 1 species
CCAUCCUGUCUCAGGAGCAGUUGAACAGCAGAAACAGCUUAUGAGGAUUCCCUUUCAGUUUUCCCAGAAAAACUAAGAGAGAAGAAUGGUCCUGUCACCUGGCAAAUGGGACAGAUCGUACAACAAAUUGGAGGCAGACUGUGAAAGUGAUGUCAUGCUUUCAGUGCAUUUCCUGUCUGUGAAUACCACAAUAAGAUUGCAACAAGAACUCGGAGCUCAUUCAUCAAUAAUUGUUGAGAGGCAACUUCGUAAAUCACCAGCCCAAGUGCAUGAAACCAUCACUUGUUAAUAUCUUAGCUGCGCUGGAGAACGUGCUGGAGCAUAGGGGAAACUCAUGUUGCCAAGGACUCUACUAUUUACAUCAUCUUCCUUCAACAUGCUAAUUUAUUGGAGAAGAUUCCUGUCUGAUUUCUUCUAGCUUGGAUUUUCUGAACUUGACAGUUUAAGUGAGAAAUCACUGAAAGACUUAGGUAAAAAAAUGUUACUUUAUGUAAAAAGUGCAAAAUAAAUGACAACACAGAGCUUCUUUUC